rnacentral:lncRNA from 1 species
UUAGUAUAAAAACGACCAUACUAAACAUUGAUCACAAUACCACCAUUGCUUAUUAUUACACCAAAAAUAUAUACAAGAACCUUCUCAAAUUUGUUGUCUAAACACUAUUAGAUAUUAACUAUCAUCUUGCAACAACAUAAUGAAUCACAACUUAUCUACUAUAGUCAUCAACUCUCAAGCCAUGUCCUAUCCUUGUUGCUAGUGAAGUCUAUUGUCACUUCUCUUUGAGUUAACUCAAGUUCUUCUAAAAUUGCUAUCCCCUCUUUUUCUUAAUUGGCAACUUUCUCAACUGAUCUAGAUUUACUCCUAGCCUCACAACUAAUAUUUUUUUUUUAUUGUAAUCCUCACCUUCUCUUUUUUAGAUUCUUCCAUUCACCUUUAUGUGUU